CGUACGUCUUCCGAAAACGUACCGCGUACCGGGUGGCGAAAUUCGAAAUACGGUUUUCAUUUCAAUAUUAUUUUUGUUACAUUAUUUAUUUCUUCGUUUUGUGAAAUACGACUAACGUGCGCGACACAUCGACUGCCGCCGCACAUUGAGAGAUACACAGAGAGUAGUGCCGCACAAAGGCGGCGAUAUAAAUUAAUCAAAAAAAAAUUUACAAAAAAAAGUUCGAUUCUUUUGCUGAGUUUUCGACGAGACGACACCGAAACACAAAAAAUUAAAAGAAAAUAACACAACAGCAACAAAUACAACUCCAACAACAACAAAGACAUCAAAAGUGCUACAUAUAUAUACAAAAAAUACAAAAAAAAAAAAUAUAUGAAUGUGUAUUCUUCUUUUUUAAAUACAUUGGCCGUUGCCGCCACCGCCGCCGCCGUCGCGCUCUUUGCACGGAUAAUAUGAGUACGACGGUGUACAUCGAACGCACAUAAAUUUUGUAUUUCGAUAUAUUUUUUUUUUAAUUUUUGCCGCUGCUGUUUUUUUUUUUCUCAUAAAAAAAAAUCUUUUCGUGUGUCCGUCUUCGUAAUGUAUGAAUCGCGUUCAUGUGAAUAUUCCUGGUGGUAUCAUAACAUUCAGAGUCAGUUGUAUUACCAAGAACAGCCAAGAACAUCGGAUGAUGAAAAGAAAUCAUCAUUAAAAGAAAAACGAGACAAAAUCAUGAAUCAUAAGAGCGGAAUCUUGCCACAUGUAGUGAAAAGCCAAAGAAUAGCAAAUGAGUGAAUGAAUAUCCAGACAAUCUCCCACAGCACCCCCUUGAGACGAGACCGAAAAACGAAAGAUAAUCUCCAAAAUCCUCUCGAUUUGUUUUGAGCAAAAAAAAAAAACAAAACAACAAAAAUAGGCAUCGUAAAAAAAAAAUUGCUUUAAUUAGCAGAAAUCAUAAUCAAAAGAAAAACGCGCCGUCUUUGACGGUUUUAUUGCAGCCACUCUACGAACCAAACAAAAAAAAAAAAAAAA
rnacentral:sRNA from 1 species